rnacentral:rRNA from 1 species
UGUGGCGUAGGGUCUGCUGGCGUGGUAAUACGGUGGGGGCGUGCGUUGUUCGGAUUUAGUGGGCGGAAAGAGCACGUAGGCGGACUGUUAAGUCAGGGGUGAAAGCCCGGGGCUCAACCCCGUAACUGACUUUGAGACGGGAAGUCUUGAGUAUGGAAGAGGUGAGUGGAAGUCCGAGUGUAGAGGUGAAAUGCGUAGAUAGUCGGAGGAACACCAGUGGCGAAGGCGGCUCACUGGUCCAUUACUGACGCUGAGGUGCGAAAGCGUGGGGAGCAAACAGGAUUAGAUACCCUAGUAGUC